CGGACGACGAAGGGGGAGAUGGGGGUGAAAUGGGUGGUGGAGAUUUGAGAAAAUUCAAGUGAUAGAGACGGAACGGUGGGGAAGGUAAGGCUUGGGUUUUUGCGGUGGUGGUCUUUGAUUAGGGAGUGAAAUUUGCCUGCUAGUAAAGAUUCCUCGUUAGAGAGAGCAGCGUUGAAGUCAUCUUGUGAGCUUAUAGUAGAAGACGAGAAAGAGGAAGAAAAGAGAUUGGGGAAGCGCUGAGAGAGAGGAGACAAGAAGAUUGGUACAACUAGCUUCGGUUUGAAGGUGACCAUUGACGGCUAUGGCUGCUUCG
rnacentral:misc_RNA from 1 species